GCAAAUAAAUAUACAAGUCCAUUAAAUCUGACUAAACCUACUUUGUGUCACAUUCAGUCUGCUAAUUCACAUCAUGUACAGUCAGACUGCGUGGUGGAACUCAGCUAGUGAAGAAUAUGGAACAGUUCCCAGUGCCUAAAUCUAAAAGUGUGACCCCGUAUGUAUUUAUUAGGCCCAAAGCAGCUGCCUAUCAUAUAUAGUUCACUGUAGACGCAUUGCAAGAGCCUUGCUAACCCUUACUGAAAGGGAAAUGGUUUUAACCAGUCAUCAGCGUAGAUGACAACUGACUAACUUGUCACUGCUAAUUUAUAACUUAAAGAACCACUAUAGGCACCCAGACCACUUCAGCUCAAUGAAGUGGUCUGGGUGCCAGG